rnacentral:rRNA from 1 species
UGAGGAAUAUUGGGCAAUGCCCGCACGGGUGACCCAGCAACGCCGCGUGGAGGAUGAAUGUCGUAAGAUUGUAAACUCCUGUUAGAGGGGAAGAAUAGUACCGGUUGGACCGGUAUAUGACUGUACCCUCAGAGAAAGCCCCGGCUAACUACGUGCCAGCAGCCGCGGUGAUACGUAGGGGCAAGCGUUGUCCGGAUUUACUGGGUGUAAAGGGCGCGCAGGCGGGAUAAAAAGUCAGUGGUGAAAUCCUACAGCUUAACUGUAGAACUGCCUUUGAUACUUUUAUUCUUGAGUUCGGGAGAGAGAGACGGAAUUCCAGGUGUAGUGGUGAAAUACGUAGAUAUCUGGAAGAACACCAGUUGCGAAGGCGGUCUCUUGGUCCGACACUGACGCUGAGGCGCGAAAGCGUGGGGAGCAAACA